rnacentral:rRNA from 1 species
UACGAAGGGGGCGAGCGUUGUUCGGAUUUACUGGGCGUAAAGGGCGCGUAGGCGGCCGAUCAAGUCAGGCGUGAAAGCCCCGGGCUCAACCUGGGAAUGGCGCUUGGGACUGGUUGGCUUUGAGUUCGGGAGAGGAGAGUGGAAUUCCCAGUGUAGAGGUGAAAUUCGUAGAUAUUGGGAAGAACACCGGUGGCGAAGGCGGCUCUCUGGACCGAGACUGACGCUGAGGCGCGAAAGCGUGGGGAGCAAACAGG